rnacentral:rRNA from 1 species
CAGCCGCCGCGGGAACACGUAGGGUGCAAGCGUUAAUCGGAAUUACUGGGCGUAAAGCGUGCGCAGGCGGUUAUAUAAGACAGAUGUGAAAUCCCCGGGCUCAACCUGGGAAAUGCAUUUGUGACUGUAUAGCUAGAGUACGGCAGAGGGGGAUGGAAUUCCGCGUGUAGCAGUGAAAUGCGUAGAUAUGCGGAGGAACACCGAUGGCGAAGGCAAUCCCCUGGGCCUGUACUGACGCUCAUGCACGAAAGCGUGGGGAGCAAACAGGAUUAGAUACCCGAGUAGUCCCUGUCUCUUAUAC